GACGAACGCUGGCGGCGUGCUUAACACAUGCAAGUCGAACGGAAAGGCCCUGCUUUUGUGGGGUGCUCGAGUGGCGAACGGGUGAGUAACACGUGAGUAACCUGCCCUUGACUUUGGGAUAACUUCAGGAAACUGGGGCUAAUACCGGAUAGGAGCUCCUGCUGCAUGGUGGGGGUUGGAAAGUUUCGGCGGUUGGGGAUGGACUCGCGGCUUAUCAGCUUGUUGGUGGGGUAGUGGCUUACCAAGGCUUUGACGGAUAGCCGGCCUGAGAGGGUGACCGGCCACAUUGGGACUGAGAUACGGCCCAGACUCCUACGGGAGGCAGCAGUGGGGAAUAUUGCACAAUGGGCGGAAGCCUGAUGCAGCAACGCCGCGUGCGGGAUGACGGCCUUCGGGUUGUAAACCGCUUUCGCCUGUAACGAAGCGUGAGUGACGGUAAUGGGUAAAGAAGCACCGGCUAACUACGUG
rnacentral:rRNA from 1 species